rnacentral:tmRNA from 1 species
GGGGAUGUAUUGGCAUUCGACAGGAUGAUUCAGGUUUGAUCAAUUGCAUUUCGGGGGUUGCUUUGUCCCCCCGUAUAUCCGUCAAAGCAAAAUAAGUGCUAAAAACACUAUCAGUGAGGCUGACUAUAGUUACGCUCGCGUACCUGUACCAGCUUUCGCUUAAUUCCGUUUUUUAACGGGAUUGGCUCACCUCCUGACUUCUUACUAGGGGGAGUGGGUCUUAUUAGUAAGAUAAGGUCUCUCUGAAUGCUUCGGCUUUGAGACUCGAAAACUUAGAAGAUAAGCGCUAGCACUUUUGCUUUUCCUUUAUUCUAGCGACGAAAAUUAACAGGAUAAGCUAUGAAUGUAGAAAUUGACUGGCCUCAUCUCUGGACCCGGGUUCGACUCCCGGCAUCUCCACCA